rnacentral:tRNA from 1 species
UGCCGGGUGGUCUAACGGUAUCAAGAUAUUUCGCUUUGACCGAAAAGAUGAAGGUUCGAUUCCUUCCCCGGCGA